GGACCCGUGGCUCAGCGGUAGAGCGCUCGGUUUACAUCCGAUAGGUCAGAGGUUCGAAUCCUCUCGGGUCCACAA
rnacentral:tRNA from 1 species